GUGGGGAUAGCUCGGCUGGGAGAGCGUUAGACUGAAGAUUUGAAGAUCGCGUGUUGGAGUAACGCUCACUGCA
rnacentral:tRNA from 1 species